UAUUUUUAUUUGUUUCGGUUUUAAAGUUUUGAUUCGGGUACAUCUGAAUAAAUUUUCACAAACUUGACAAACCCAUAUAACAAGAACUUAGAGGAAAUAAAAAAAGAACAUUGCAUCCCAGAACCCCCCUCCUGCCCCCUUCCAGUACCUACUUCCAACAUCCGAAGAAUAAUGAUUACCUAGACUUCUAACAGACUUUAUGUAAAUGGAAUCAUAGUGCAUGCAUUCUUUUUGUGUCAGGGUUUUUCACUCUUUGUAAGUUUCAGCUACCUCAUGUACAGCUGAGGGUUCUUCAUAUUCUUCCUUGUUUGAUAUUGCCUACAGUUUCGCUCUUGUUACCCAGGCUGGAGUGCAAUGGAGUGAUCUCGGCUCACGGCAACCUCUGCCUCCUGAAUUCAGGCAAUACUCCUACCUCAGCCUCCUGAGUAGCUGGGAUUACAGUGUGUUUCAUUGUCAGUUAUUGGACCAUUCUUGUUUAAAACCUCACUGACAUGUUUCAUUCCAAUGUACCCUUGGAGCACUGCUUAUGAUCAAAUGCCAUCAUCUAUAUUAUGAAAUCUCACCAGACUGCAUCCUGCCAUAAGGUUCAAAAGCUGCUGUGUCUCUUCUUCUCUGAAGCCCCUUUGAUGUCCCCUGCCUGCAGCCAAGACCAUGACUGGAGUGCAGUGGUGCAAUCUUGGAUUAUGGCAACCUCCGCUUCCGAGGUUCAAGAGAGUCUUCUCCCUCAGCCUCCCGAAUAG
rnacentral:lncRNA from 1 species